rnacentral:misc_RNA from 1 species
UGGCGAUUUGUUCAUAGCAAGCCUUGAUAUGGCUUAAGGGAACAGCAAUAUUUAUCAUGAUAUUGAGAUGUUUUCUAUUUGGCAGAUUGUACCGGGGAAGGUUUUUCCGGUUUAGCCCGGAGGGCUUGUAGCUCAGUUGGUUAGAGCGCGCGCUUGAUAAGCGUGAGGUCGGAGGUUCAAGUCCUCCCAGGCCCACCAGUUUAUAGUGUUUGAUUUUAUGUUGAAUCAGGCUUUUGAGUGCUUAUAGGAUUUGUAAUCUUAUGACAUUUAUAAUCUUAUGAAGAAGUAUCGUUUUUUAUAAGAUUUAGCUUAAGAGAUCUGGUGUUUUAGGAUUAUUUCUUUAAGUUCAGAUGUAUGAGAGGUUAUUUUCCUUUUUUAUCCUGCAUAGGGGGCCGUAGCUCAGCUGGGAGAGCACCU